rnacentral:lncRNA from 1 species
AGAGGAGCCAAUGGGCCCGUUCUUUGCACGCGGCACCACACAACACCGGGUUGUGGCUAUAAAUGCGUUGUCGACCUAGUAAACGUCAUUAAAUUCCCAGUAUACUAAAAGAGCGAGAGGAGUUUUCGAAGAAUAUCGAAGUUUUUGGAGCAACAUGGACAAGCCAGCAUGCAAGUGCGGAGAUCCCAAAUGCGUGUGUACCACGCAGUGCAAGUGUGCCACCGGCGGAUGCCCCUGUGACAGGUGCAAGAAGUAGGAGCUCACGCUGCGGGAGUCUCUGGCGCUUGAGCCAUGGACGCUUCCAGUAGGCCUCAAACGUGAAAGGCCACGGCAAAAAAAAAAAAAAAUGUCGGAACCAUUCUUGUUUUGAGAGCCAAUAAAAAAAGUUGAAAA